AAAGGAGCUAGGCUGCUUGUAUAAGUGUGUGCGAGAGAGAUAAACACCCUCACAGUGGCCUAGCUGUCAUAAUCCAAAUCACACUGUCAACCUUUCCUGAGGGGGCUGAGCUAUCUGCUGACUUGUGGAAUUCCAAUAACUGAUGCUUGCUGGCGAAGAUGUUAUGUGUUCUCUCUCUCUCACACACACGCAGAGGUUACACAAGAAAUGUUUGCAAGUGAGGAAGCUGGAAUGCUGAAGUUAAGAAAAAAAUCAAGCCUUGAAUACCAGCUAGUUUGAGCAACUCAUUUAAAACCCCAAACACCAACUGCUAUCCCAAACGUGCUCCAUCAUUGGGUUAUGAGGGAUCUGCAAUGCCUACAGCACUUUUGUGGAACUGUGUGAUCUGCUGUGCCACUACCUUGAACCUUAGACGUGGACAUGCCCGAAAAUGAAUCACUUAUCACUUGGGAGAGAUCUUCCUAGAAGGACAAGACUGAGGUUUUAGCAAUGAUUUGAUAGUUCAGUAUUUCAGUCCUGUUCUUCUAGAAUGGUCAUUCCAAUGCUUGAGACUCACUCCAGUUCCUUCUUGUGGCUUUGAAAGUGGCUUUCCAUAUGCAGCCUUGACCUCAAAAUCUUCAAGACAUUCUUCUAGAUUGCAGUCUUGGACACCAGAGAAUCCACCUCUUCAUCCCAAAUGAAAUGGUACUUUCCUGAUGAAGAUUGUGGUAACUUUGAAUCUGUUUCUUAUGGGGUCCGGGCUGGUGACAUGUAUAUGGAGUCCUCACCCCAGCCCUGCAGAGAUUACCAUGGAAAGAUCUGAAGCCCUAUUAUCAUUUCUUCUGGUCUCCUCCAUGCUGGCAAGCCCCACCUGUAAAGGGCAGCUGCAGCCUGGAGAGUCCCUGGAGUGAGGCUGCUUGGGGCAGGAUGUGCACCAAAGGCCCAGAGCUGGGAACUGCAGGAUUUGGGGGCAGCAUGUUUCAGCAAUGGAAUAAGAUGGGGAAUCUCUGAGGGGAUCAUAGCAGAAUUCUGCCUGGCUAUAGUUUCCUCUCACUGGGAUUUUACCAUGCAAGGAUGUGAUCUGCCCCAUGUAUAUUAGAAGGGUAGGGUACUACCAGAGCUAGCUAUAUAUUUACUAACAAAGAUUUAAGUAUAUUUAAAAAUAAAUGCUUAAAGUGGUUAAGAAAAACUUGAUGCUUUUGUUGUUUUUGGUGUACCCGGCUGCUGUCUCUCUGUGUGGGCUGCUAUUGCAAUUACACAGCACUGCACUUAGUAGUGUUCAUCCCACAGUUUGGCUGGGCCACAGAAACAUUUUUUUGGGCAGUGUCGAAAGUUCCUUUCCUAGAGAUUGAGGCAUAACAGCCUAAAUUUUUGGUUACACUAAGGCCCCUUUACACUUCUCUGGCAGUGCAAAAGGGCCUUUGAGUGGGUGGAGAUGUAACUUAUCCCUCCUUUAGUAUAACUGAGAUUUCAGGCUGGAGAGUUGAGUAAUUCAGCAAGCCCCAUGGAAUCCUAAUUCAGAAGAAACAAAAAGCAGGCCACCUGCGUGGCUGGAACAGAUUGUCUUUUGGAGAUAGCCUCUGAACAGUUGCCAGGUGCUCAAUUGCCAGCUGCCACGAAUCAUUCCUAUGAAGAAAAAAAGAAAAGUGUACCUGUCCUGCUGUCUGGGGUGUGAGGGGAGAUGUGUGAGCUCCUUUAUGUGAAAUGCAAGCCCAUUCAGGAGAAAAUAUUGCCAUUCACUCAUUCUGUAAUUUACCCAAACAACCAUAACACCUGCUUGAAACCUCUGGGCCUCUGUCAGGGAGUCCACUCACUGCAGAUGGUACCUCCUCCUGGCCACUCUGGGGAUUAGCUCUUUCAAGCCCAAGGCCACCUUCUGCUGCUGGCUGCAUAUCCUGCUGCUGCUCUCUCUCUCUGCAACUCAGGGUGCUCCCUCUCAGUGACUUGGCCCUCUGGCAAGGUCACUAUGUGUGUUCCCCUCUUCUAGGGUUUCCAAGUCUUUCCUCACCAGCAGUCUUAGGCAGUCUUCUCAUUCAUUACCCCUAUGGUACUACUUCCCCAGUGGCUGCCAAGGGAAACCAACCCCACCCUCUAUUCAGUCUAUCAGCUCAGGGACCAGCUACUUAACAGCUAACGUCUACACCACCCUGAACCCCACUGCCUUUUCCCUGAGUCUUUUCUACUUCUCCUGGCUCCCCACACACAGGGUUUGCCACUUCAAACUUCCUCCUCCCAGCAAAUACCUGCAGACUAAUGUCUAUAGCCCCCAACACUCCUCCCUUCCUCCAUAGAGCAAAGCAGACUUCUCCCCUACAGCACUUUUCUGCUAUCUGCUCCCUGGCUUUAUAGACACGCCUAUUCUUGCACAGUUGAGCUUCCCCUAAUUAGGACUUUCCUUUUAGCCUUAAUUCCCCCAUCUUGUAGCCUAACAGAUUAAUUGGCCCCUCUGGCCUACCUCUUCAGGGUUAGUGUAGGGCACACACCCUACCAUAGCUUCUCAGUGUGUUUUGACUUGUCUUUCUGUUUAGAUUCUAAGUUCCUUGGGGCAGGAGCUGUGUCUUUUGCAUCUUUUUCAGAGCAAAGUAUUCUGUCACAGUGGAACCAAUAUGGAUCAAGGGCUCCAUAUCUUCAGCACAAAAAGAAAUAGAAUCUUCAAAUGUAUUUGUGGAAUUUUAAGGUUCUUCCCGUUUUAUCUAUCAGAGGUUUGCCAAGCAGAGUCACACCUUGGUGGAGCUGUAAGUGGACUAGAUUGGAAACUGACCUGGUUGGAGGACCAAGGCAUGAGAGGAGGCAGCUGCUGCUGCAGGAGGGAGAGAAUUACCAUGCCAUGCCUGGCGGCGAAGAGGUGCCAUGGGCUCAGUGGCCAAUACUCACCCACCCACAGGGAAUCUGGAGCCUGUACAGCACUAACCCAGAAACCAAAGAGGAGGAGCAGGCCUCUUGUAACGAUACCAAGUUCCUUUGUUCUGCAGCUGCAUUCAAAAACAAAAGGCCAGGAUGGGAAACUGGCUGUCCACAAACAGUACAGAACUUGUAACUUUGCAGCCAUCUGGGACUGGUGCAAAUGAGACUAACCCAUGUUGAGAAUAACUAAAAGGGACUAAAAAUUAGUGAAAAUGUAUGCUUACAUAGGAGGUAGAGUGAAGUGUUUUCUUGCAUCAUUCGCAAAGAUGGUUGCAAACCAUAAACUAAGAAUCUGGAUUGCAAACACCACAAAAUUUGGACACGGGAUGUAGGUGUUUGGUUCAGUUCAUUAUAAAGACAAGGAGACAUCUGCAAAACCUGACUCUGGAUCUCAGUUUGGAUUUCCAAUGCCUCUCUCCUUGACUCGUCUUGCCUAGUCUCUUCUGGCAGUGAUUUUGACCUACCAUAUGAACGGUCAUCUUGGGAACAUUUUGCAAAGAAGGACCUUCCUUUGGAGCCAGAAGUGUGCAAGUAAAUAUCAUAAAAGAUUCCUCCUCAAAAAGUGAUGAUUUAAAAAACGUGCCUGACCCUGGGGGAAAAUUGUGUGGCGACUGGCCACAGGCUCAGGAAUCAUCUGUGCUGACCAAUGGACACAGAGGAUCAAACUCCAAACACAGUGUACAUGGAUGGUGUUCGCUGAGAGGCUAAUUAUUCAAUAUUUCUUUUUAUAGUCAUUCAAUAUAUGGCCUCCAACACAUAUUUACCACAUGCCAUCCAAACCCUAUACUGGAUACAGAGUUAUACAUUUCCUAAUGGAUCUUUCUAUAGAAUCCUCACCACAGUAUUUGAGUGAUUCACAAACAUAAAUGAAUUUAUGUUCACAACACCCUUAUGAGAUUAGGUGGUAUUAUCCCCAUUUUACAGCUGCGGUGGUGAGGCAGCGUGAUAGGGCCAAAAUUAUCAAAAUUGUCCACUAAUUUUAGAUGUUCAGCUUCAGACACAAGACCCUCAUUUUCCAGUACAUAUCAUUUUAUACCUUUAUCUUUAUAUGUUCAAGCACAGCUCCUAUUGAUGUUAGUGGCAAUUGUGAGUGGUCAGCCAUGAUGUGGUAUCACCCCAUACCAGCCCUGAAGGGGUUAAGGUGGCCCAGCAGAAGCAAUUAACCUUUACGAUUGCUCCUGGAGGGAGGCCCAGGGAUUUAUAACUACUAAUUGCUGAUGAAGCCCAUCUGGAGAAGCUGGCUAAGGAAUAGACAGAGAGGAAAUUUGUAGCAGCAGGGGAGAGUCUUCAGUCGUUUUCUGGGAGCAGAGAGGUGGGGAGAAAGAAAUUUGUGGGAAUAUAAGCCCUGGGAUCCUAGCCCUGGAAGAAGGGUCAACCCCCAAGGAGUUGUAGAAAAAGCCUGAGAGGGUAGGGUAGGAAGAAGCCCAGGUAAACAGCAGCAAGGAAGGGGACUAUGUACACCAGGGUGGCCAAACUUACUGGCCCUCUAAGCCACAUAUGAUAAUCUUCAGACGUUUGAGAGCUGAGGAACACCUGCUGGGAGCUGGGGCUUGGGGCUGCAGCCCCAUUCCUGCCGAAGCCCCAAGCCCUGGCAGAUAUGUCCCACAGGACUGAAGCCCUGAGACCCCUCUCCCUGCUGGACAGAUGCCCCUACCCCACCAUCCCAUUGCAAGGCAGUGAUCCAGAGCUCCCCCCACCCCCAAUCUGGUAGGUGGAGAAUUGGGGUGGAGGGGGGGCGGACACUGGAUGGGCUUGUGAGCUGCACUUUAAUGGUAAAAGAGCCACAUGUUUGGCCAUCCCUGGUGUAGACCUUGGCUGCUGGUUCUAAGAUCACUGGAUUGGAAGUCAGUGUAGAGGGAGGGCCUGAGUUCCCUUACCAGCCACUGGGAAGUGGUGCAGCACUAUUAGAGGUACAAUCCAGACAGCUGGUCUGGAGAGACUUUGGUACCCCAGAAAGGGGGACUGUAUAGUGACCUAGCUGGAGGGCUGAGUCACAAAGAGGGAGCACUGUGAAUGACAGGAACAGAGACCACCUGUGGAAAAAAGUAGGAUGUGAUCAUGUAAUUCAUUAUUGUAACAUAAUGCUUACACAUAAGUGGGGUGAAUUAAGGUACAUAGGAAACUGAAGCCCUCUGGGUUCAAUUCCAGGUUCUCCUCCCACUAACUCAACUCCUGUCCCUGUGCUUGUCCCCUGUGCUCCUCAUCCCUCUGUGUCCUAGUCAAAGCUGCUUCCUCUUCUUCUCCUCCUCCUCCUCCUCACCACCUGGGCACUAGAGGUGGACAUUGAGAAACAUAGGAGAGGUAUCCCCGCUCUCAGUUCCAGUGCCUGACACUAUAGCAGCCCCAGCUAGCCUAGAAGAGGAAUUGCAGGAAAAGUCCUGUUCAGUCCCUGCAGCCCUGGGCUGGAGUAAGCUCAGUGUGUCUCUGGGAAUCUCACAUACACACACCGACACAGAAUACAGUCACAUGUAGGAGCUGUGCAUGGAUCGAGCGUGCUCAGCGCAGAUAGAAUCUUCAGAGACUUUAGUUGCCAGACUCUAACAAACCUCUACUGAACAUGUGUGAACUGAGAUUUCCCCCCUGAGGUUGGCAAAAUGUGGGUGGAUUUAUGUGGGGACAGCAAAAGGCACAUCCCUGACACUGUGGAGACUCCCUUAUCAAAUUUCAAGUCCCUGCUCCAAAGCAUGGAGGUGGUAGAGCUUCUCAGUUCAAAGGUUGCAAGAAUUUUUUUAACUUGGGGAAAACCACGUUUUUCCCUCUAACCUCAUUCUUGGAAAUGGCUAGACUGCAUUAGCUGAAACUUAAAAAAAACAGCCAAACAAACAAACAGCAUAAGUCAGAUACUCAGCAAGCAGACACUUGGCAUUGAAAAUUUCAGUCUGAACAAUUAAAGAUGAUCAUAGUUAUAAGCAACUGAAAACAGGGUCUUAUAAUGGAAAGUGUUAGUGAACCUUAACCAUAGGUGUAACUACCCAACUUCACCUAUAAUUAAUAAAUUCAGUGUAUCUGGAAUUCUUAGGACUUUACAAUCCUUUUAAAAUACACAAACAUUGCAAAGGAACAAUAGCGAAAAAAGAAUCUCCAAAUGCACCGCCCUUCUUGUAACCCACCACAAACCCUAAUCAAGCCUGUACUUCAAUGGAAGGCUGGGAAAACAGCUGCCUUGCAACAUACUCUGUAAGCAUGUGAAUCCAGGUUCCAUUGAACCAAAGGUGGGAAGGGCAGAGUUGGAGACCACUCACUGAAUAUCCCCUCCCAUUUAAAUAAAGGGCCUAUAAACAUGCCUUAACUGUGAGAGAUUGACUUAAGUGUUUCAAUAGGCUUCUUUGAUUUGCCCUUUCUGGAAGGACGUUGUGUUUGAACUGGCAAAGAGUAAGUGAUAGACAUAAGUCCUCAUUUUGUCAAGGCACUGGCGUGUCACUUGUUGGAAAAUCUAUUCUGAUAGGUGCCAUCUACAGCUAUUAAAUGUGGCAUUGAAAGAUGGACUAGGUCUCUGCCAAAAAAUUGCCACUGUGCACUUGUUUGCACUGUACCCUGUAUAUGCCUUAUGCUAAUCACUAAUGAGGGAAAGGCUAUUGGGUGGGGCUCUAACUAGAUGCAAUUUUCAAAUUGUAAAAUACCCAGACAUAAAUAUAGCCCAGUGCCAUUCUUUAACUUGAAUAUGUAAACUUGAACAUUGGCCCAAUUCUCCAUUGUCUUGUGCAGUGAUUUAUACUUGAGAGUGCAGAGCGGGUGUAACACGUUACUAACUUUUUAGUGGCAGUGUUUAAUACCACUUUGCAUGUCAAUGACUCCACAGGGAGCAUGGCAGUGGAAAAUCAAACUCCAUGUAUGUAGCAUACAUGGUGUCCAUGUGACUCAUCCCUUUUGGCUGUGAUUCCCAUUCUAUGCAAUGACCCUAUAUUCUUGUUGUGUACCCUGUGAUUACCCUUUGAGAGAAACUAAAGCUGCAACCAGAGAAUCGAACCUGUUGGACCCCUGUUACUGUGCACGGGGACCAGGAAAUACUAUAAAUGUAGGCUAUUCUCUCAAAGUGCUACAGUUGAAUGUUGAGGGCCAAUCAGCUGCAAAAUGCUCUGUUCUUGAAAACAUUGCCUCCUGAUAAAGGUCAAUGUCAUCUACCUUUAGGAAACCCGGGUUAAUUCCCUUAUUUCCAGUCAGUUCAUCAUCUCUGGUUUUGACCUCAUAACUAUCGCCUACAUGGAAAAAUGUAAGAGCAUUUAUGUAAGAGCAAAUUAUGUAAGAUCAAAUUUAGCUGAGAUGGAGAGCUGACUGUUUUCAUCUGACUACAUCAUAAGGUUCAAUCAGUUUAAACUGACUAAUGCCUAUAAGACUCCUAAUCAGUUAUGGCCUGAUCCUGCUCUGCCAUCACUCCAGCAUCCCUCCAACUAUGCCAGAGACUUUAAUAGCCACCACACACUUGGGGCUAUAAAGAAUCUGAUCUAAGUGGGAUAGACUCUGCAAACUGGGCCUUCUCAAUGAACACUUUUUUCAUGACACUGAGCAACCAUUAACUUAUUACUCAGUCUGCUGGACCCAGGGCUACUCCUCUGACCUCAGUUGGGUCACUUCUGCUGGAGACUCCCCUUUACCAGCCACCGGCAGGGUGCUUGGAAAUUUCCCCCACAGCUAGCAUUGCUCUAUUCUAAUCCAAAUAGGGGUUACCAUACCGAUCGUGACCACUAGCCCAAGGCUACAUUGGAACGAAAGGAAGGCAGACUGGGACAAUUACACUAAGCUCAUUGAGGAAUACUCAGGGUUUACCCAAGCAAUCUUUAUAGCCACCUUCAAAUCCAUCCCAUGUGGCUGCCAAAAAACCUACAUACUAUGUCUGGAUAAAAAAUGUUCAGACCUCCUUAAACAGUACAAAAUUCUGGUGAUCCAGAAAUAGCUAAUCAUGUCAGAGAGAGCCUUAUUGCAGCGUGAAGACUAUGUUGGGAAGAAAGCAAUUUUAGAAAUGGGCAUGUCAGGAUCUAGCAGGAAAGCAUGGACACUCAUCAGGAAGUUUGGCGCAGUAGAAAAUCCACCAGCUACAUGGCAACUGAAGGUCUCUCCAGCAGUGUCGCUGCAUACCUGACCAACAUCACUAAAGCAGAUAAAGAUAGAAUUUUCAAGCUGUCAAUCAAACAAAGCAGCAACAGUACAAGCAAUCUCCACAGCUCAACCAAGACGAAAACUUUCAUUCAUUCUCUAGGGAAGUAAUAAAAAAGGCACUGAAAUCAGUGAAAACAGGGAAAGCCUGCUGCUUUGAUAACGUAACACCAGACCUACUUCAACAUAUUGGGAAGAAAAGCUAACACUGGUUGUUCAUCUUCAUGUCCUGUGUUACAGAGGAAAACAUAAUACCCAAGAUAUAGUGAAAAGCCAAGGUGAUAGCUUUACCAAAGCCAGGUUAAGAUGACUCUUCAGCAGCUAGCUAUCAUUCAAUAUCACUCAAAUUGUAGCUACAAACUCCUGGAGCAGAUGAUUUUACAGACAAUCAGACCCAUGACAGAAGAACUUUAGAGUGAUGAUCAGGAAGGCUUUCAACUACAUUGAAGCACCUGUAACCAACUGCUCGCAUUCAUUACAUAUAUUGAGAAUGUAGCUGUCUCUUCUGACUUACUGCAUCUUAUGGUACCAUCUGGCACCAACUUUAUUUAAUGUAUUCACCAAUGACCUACUGAACACCAUCUCUAGGGAGUUAAUGUAUAUUGAUUAUACUUUUGCUUGGCUUUAAUACUGUGACUUCCAAAAGAUUGAUGAGAACCUGAACAGUAAUAUGGUUGCCAUGGGUAACUAAUGCAAGAAAUGGAGAUGGACACCAAGCAUAUCAAAGACCGUAUCACCAUGCUUCCACGUAUACCAUGCUGAGAGCCAUUGUGUGUUUAAUAUCUUUAAUAUCACCCUAGAUAAUACACUCACAUAUAAAUGCCAUCUCACUACAGUAGCUCAAAAGAUCAAGAGCAGAAACUGCCUCCUGAACAAACUUGUAGGGUCAACCUGCAAAGUUCACAGGGCUCUCUGCCACUUAGUUGGUGACACUGUGUCCCUGUUUGGUUAAACCCUGUCCACACAAGACUAGUAGCUGCACAGCUUAAUCAUACCAUAAAAUUUAUCACAGGCAGAUUCAAGCAAACAAAACUUGUAUGGUUAUCAGUCCUAGCCAAUAUUCUUUCACCUUAUAUCUCGCAUUUGAAUGCAGCCAAUAAACUGAUCAUCAAGGUAUAGUAAAUACCACACUUGCCACUGUUCAGGAUGCACCCCCACCACUGACUGCAUAGUAGAAAUCCUGCCUGGACAGUGCUGCACACUUCCAUCCAGCUGAUAAUGUAAUCAGCUCACGGUGGCAGUCAGAUGGGAGAGAGCUGCUGCCACUAACAGGAACUCUCACGACAUCACCAGGCUGGAUGAAUGGCUACAUGGCUUUUGGCACACCAUGGCUUUGGAGCCAGCUUAACAGGUUUGGAUGUGGCGCGGUUCACUGUGCCCAGACCUGGGGCAUCUGAGACAGCUCACUGUGCAUCUGUGGUACUAUGGAGAUUGCUGCACACACAGUGGAUAGUAGCUCUUUUCAUAGAGGGCUCCCUGGAGAUCUUCUCAGCUGAACAUUGCUAACUCGGGGCCAUUGAUUGGCUCAAAACUCUUUGGUUGGAUUUAUUUUGUUUUUUGAUUUUACUUUGUUUUCCCUAAAAUCUAGCCUUGCUUGUCUUGUCUGCACAUAGUCACUUAUAUUUACAGCAGGCAGAUAAGGGAUGUGUAGGUCCUUGGAAUUUGUGCUUUAAGCCUCACCAUGUGUUAUCUGCCUCAUUACCUACUGCAGAAAAGAUCUGGCAGCUUCAUGCACUUUUCUGAUGAUACCCAAUGACAUGGAAAAAUUGACAAUGGCUUAUCUAUUGUUGGUUUGAUGGGCCUAUGUCUGCAAAGUGCUGAGUGCUUGCUUAGAGGAGGUGAACACCGUCAGCUUCCAUUAACAUCAGUGGAGUUGAGGGUACUCAGCUCACCAUCUACUACACUUAUAUGGCCCCAUCGCUGUAGCAAUUGAGCCCCUCACAAUGUUUAAAGUAUUUAAACUGUAAGAGACAGGGGCAUAGGUGGUCUUGCCUAGCGGUCACAGCCGGGCUGAGGUCUGCCCACCAGGAAUGGGAGUUGGCAGGAGUUGGAGGAGUCGCAAGGCCAGGUCCUGUAAACAAGAGUCAGGCCAGGGUCAGAGACUGGAAAUCAGAGGUAAUAGCAGGUUAGAAUUGACUGACAGGAAUCAGGGUCAGAGUCAGGGACCAGAGAUUAGGAGACACAGCAAAGUCUGGCACUGCAGUAGGCCAAAGUCUCUGUGGUUGCCCAGAUAACUUGCUGGGGUAACCCCUGGGGUUAAGUGGGGCAUUUGGCCAGUUAGAGGGCUGCUGUUACUCUGGAUCUCUUGGGUGGCACUUUCUGCAGUGCCUACUCUCCACUGUGCUCUCUGGUUGUGCCUCUGCAUGGCCUCCCAGUGACACUGUGGGAACAUGCCACCCCAGGCUCUGAGGUCCAGAUUCUAGUCUCCAGGUCCUUACAUUAACCUGACAACAGCCCUAUUAGGUAGGGGAGUACUGUUACCCCAUUUUACAGAUGGGGGAAUUGAAGCACAGAGAGAUUAAGUGACUUUCCCGAGGUCAUACAGAGAACCUAUGGCAGAGCAGGGAAUUGAACCCAGGUCUCCCAAGUCCUAACCAUUCAACCAUCCUUCCCUUAAAGCUUACUGAAGGGCCAAUGUAGGUGGUGGGCUAAUGGUCCCAGUACUGACUCUCAAACUUUACUUUCCAAAGUGCCUCCAAACACCCAAUAAUUUAUCACUUUGUGUUGCUGGGUUCCUCAGUAGCAGUAGCCCUGUUAGUCCCAGCCUUUGUUAUUCCUCUGUGGGUGUGAUUGAGUAUUCAGCCACCUGUUGCUGUAAAUCUGGCUGGAUUCAUAAUCUCCUCCAGCCCCCUGCGCUCUCUUUGGAUUUCUGUAAGUACAUCUGCGUGACCUCUUGUUUUCUGCUCUGUAGAAACUUGUACAGUCACACGGGAGGACAUGUGGCACAGCCUUAUUGCUCUGACCCUAUAAAUAUAGACAGCUCAGUUUAUUUCCAAAAAGUGUGGAUUACAUAGUUAGCCUUAAUUGUUAUUGACUCUGAUAACCUUUUACCCAGCUUGGAUCUAGCACAGUUCACUUCAGCUAAACAGCAGUAGGUAACCAACCUGCCUAUUUUACAUAAAUGUAAAGGAAACUCUAAAGCCCUGCAGAAAUAUUUUAUGUAAACAACUUACAGAACUGUGAAGAGAAACAUUAUCUUAAAAUAUUAAGGAAUGUUAUUUAGCUGAGAUUGAAAAAAUUACUCAGAUAGAAUAUAUGAUACUUGAAAUUCUGAGGUCAGAGUUUUCCUUGCAGUCAAACUCCCUUUGAAACGUGGCCCAGGUUAAGGUCCAUGAGAGUUUGCAAGAGUAUGGACUGAAUUAAAACUCAGGGCCUUCAGUAUUUAAUUAGAGGUGCUCUCUAAUUCCAGUAGAGAACUGCACUUGAUAACUGCCAUAGGCCAAGAUUUUCAAAAUCAAUUAGUUGAUUUGGGACACCUCAGUUUUAGGGUACUCCAUUUGAAACACCUUAUAGUGGAACUUGCAAUCAGGCCCCUUAAAGAUGCCUUAAGCUAGGGCCCCUGAAAUCACUAGUCACACUUCAAAAUUUUGAUCACAGUCUGGAGCUAGGACUGCAGGGUUUGAUCCAUACUGUAUGUUAUGUGCCACUCUUAACAAACUCCAGCGGGCAAUUUAGAGGCUGGCAAAAUUAACGUGUAUUAAACUAUGGGCUUUAAGAUUAGUAGACCUAAUAAAGAAAAGAGAAAAUGCAAGUGGUAUCUCUGGUGAUCCAAGCAAUGGCUUAGAAGACAAGAUUAAAGAAGUUCUGCAACAUACAAGUGCUUUGGAAUGGAGUAGUUAAGUACUGCCAGUUCCAAGAAUCAGUUUAACGUUAAGGGAAUGAUGGCAGUUAUCCAAACAUCCUUGCAAUCCUCAGUUCAUAAGCAAUUUUCAUCAUAAUACAGACAGAAUAAAUUAAAAACAAAAACAAAACAAAACAAAAACCCUAUGACACAAGAUCUCUGCAGUUACCACAUUCUAUAUGAAAUUCAAGCUACCAAGAGGAGAAGAAUUGAAUGGAUUCCCAUAAAUAAUGUAAGUGGAGAACCUUGAUUGCAACAAGAAAAACACUGAUGCAUUUUUGUCCUUUUAAAAUAAACCAGAUGCCAAGAAGAGGGUGAGAGAAGGAGUUCUCAGAAAAGCUGGCACAAAAACAUGGAACAAACAGAAAAAAAAACGUGCUUGCUUCUUGACUUGUGAUGAACAAACUAUAGGACUAAUCCUGCAUCCUUUAUAUGUGUUGACAUGUGUUAUGUAAAUACUGGGUGCUGUUUUUGUAGGGUCUGAAGCUGCUAACUUACAAAUAAAAUGAAUGU